rnacentral:tRNA from 1 species
GGGGCUGGCUCAGUGGUAGAGUGCUCGCCUAGCAUGCAGGAGGCACUGGGUUCGAUCCUCAGCACCA